UACGUAGGCAGCAAGCGUUGUUCGGAGUUACUGGGCGUAAAGGGUGUGUAGGCGGUUGUUUAGGUUUGGUGUGAAAUCUCCCGGCUCAACUGGGAGGGUGCGCCGAAUACUGAAUGACUAGAGUGCGGGAGAGGAAAGUGGAAUUCCUGGUGUAGCGGUGAAAUGCGUAGAUAUCAGGAGGAACACCGGUGGUGUAGACGGCUUUCUGGACCGUAACUGACGCUGAGACACGAAAGCGUGGGUAGCAAACAGG
rnacentral:rRNA from 1 species